AUCGCUUCUCGGCCUUUUGGCUAAGAUCAAGUGUAAAAACGUUUUUUCUUAAAUCCUGGAUCUGUGCAAUGGAUACGUGUCGUUUGGUUAUUCCUGUUUUCACUUAUCAGAUAAUAAUUUCCAAAAAUAAU
ensembl:snRNA U2 U2 spliceosomal RNA